GGAGUAGGAGGAUCCAAAACUCCUCUCCAGAGCAUUUUGCCACUUCUGGUCCAAGGCCCACAGGCCCUUUGAAGAAAGCUGUGACAGCCUUCACAGACGGCUCAGGGAGGUCCAGUAAUGCAGUGGUAGCCUGGUUUGAAAAAGGAGAAUGGAAAACAGAUGUUCAUCAAGUUGAAGGUUCAUCUCAGAUUGCUGAACUCUCAGCCGUGGCUGCAUGAGGAUGUUUCACCUGUUGGACAUCAUUUUGGAGCUGGAAAAUUAAAAACGGGGGAAGCUAAGGUAAAAUACAAGGAUAUCCUGACAGGAGAAUGGCUUGGUCCAGUCCCUCUAAUUGUUUGGGGGAGAGGACAUGCUUGUGUCU